rnacentral:rRNA from 1 species
GAUGAACGCUGGCGGUAUGCUUAACACAUGCCAGUCGAACGGACUCUUCGGAGUUAGUGGCGGACGGGUGAGUAACGCGUGAGAAUCUGGCUUUGGGUUCGGGACAACCACUGGAAACGGUGGCUAAUACCGGAUGUGCCGAGAGGUAAAAGAGAAAUUGCCUGAAGAUGAGCUCGCGUCCGAUUAGCUAGUUGGUGAGGUAAAGGCUCACCAAGGCAGCGAUCAGUAGCUGGUCUGAGAGGAUGACCAGCCACACUGGGACUGAGACACGGCCCAGACUCCUACGGGAGGCAGCAGUGGGGAAUUUUCCGCAAUGGGCGAAAGCCUGACGGAGCAAUACCGCGUGAGGGAAGAAGGCUCUUGGGUUGUAAACCUCUUUUCUUAGGGAAGAACAAAAUGACGGUACCUAAGGAAUCAGCAUCGGCUAACUCCGUG